AUUGAACGCUGGCGGCAUGCCUUACACAUGCAAGUCGAACGGUAACAGGGAGCUUGCUCCGCUGACGAGUGGCGAACGGGUGAGUAAUAUAUCGGAACGUGCCCUAGAGUGGGGGAUAACUAGUCGAAAGAUUAGCUAAUACCGCAUACGAUCUAAGGAUGAAAGUGGGGGAUCGCAAGACCUCAUGCUCGUGGAGCGGCCGAUAUCUGAUUAGCUAGUUGGUAGGGUAAAGCCUACCAAGGCAUCGAUCAGUAGCUGGUCUGAGAGGACGACCAGCCACACUGGGACUGAGACACGGCCCAGACUCCUACGGGAGGCAGCAGUGGGGAAUUUUGGGACAAUGGGCGCAAGCCUGAUCCAGCAAUGCCGCGUGAGUGAA
rnacentral:rRNA from 1 species